UGGGGAAUUUUGGACAAUGGGCGAAAGCCUGAUCCAGCAAUGCCGCGUGUGUGAAGAAGGCCUUCGGGUUGUAAAGCACUUUUGUCCGGAAAGAAAUCCUUGGCUCUAAUACAGUCGGGGGAUGACGGUACCGGAAGAAUAAGCACCGGCUAACUACGUGCCAGCAGCCGCGGUAAUACGUAGGGUACAAGCGUUAAUCGGAAUUACUGGGCGUAAAGCGUGCGCAGGCGGUUUGCUAAGACCGAUGUGAAAUCCCCGGGCUCAACCUGGGAACUGCAUUGGUGACUGGCAGGCUAGAGUAUGGCAGAGGGGGGUAGAAUUCCACGUGUAGCAGUGAAAUGCGUAGAGAUGUGGAGGAAUACCGAUGGCGAAGGCAGCCCCCUGGGCCAAAUACUGACGCUCAUGCACGAAAGCGUGGGGAGCAAACAGGAUUAGAUACCCUGGUAGUCCACGCCCUAAAACGAUGUCAACUAGUUGUUGGGGAUUCAUUUCCUUAGUAACGUAGCUAACGCGUGAAGUUGACCGCCUGGGGAGUACGGUCGCAAGAUUAAAACUCAAAUGAAUUGACGGGGUCAUAGCUGUUUCCU
rnacentral:rRNA from 1 species